UGAAGAUGGACGCCACGGAGAACAUUUGAACGCGCCAUAGUGGGACCGGACGAGGGUAACAUCAAAGAAUUUGGGUGAUGAGAAGCCUGCAGCCGAGGAAAAAGAGGCAGCAGAUGGAAACAAGGAAAGCCCUGUUAAUGAAAGUGAAGAAAAGGAUCCUGAGGAUAAGGAGAUGACACUGGAAGAAUAUGAGAAGGUGCUGGAAGAGAAAAGAAAAGCCCUGCAAGCACUCAAGACUGAAGUGAGAAAGGUGGAUGCAAAGGAGUUUGAAUCAAUGCAGCCACUUUCCACAAGAAAGACAAUGAUGAGAUCUUUGCUAAAUUGGGAUCUGACAAGGAUAAGUGCAGAGAUGCUAUUGAGAAGGAGAAAUCAAAGAAGGU